GGGCAAUUGGUCUAGGGGUAUGAUAUCUGCUUCGCAUUAGACGAUCAAUAGUGCAUGCAGAGGGUGUAAGUCUAGGUCCAGACAAACUAUGUUGAAAUGAUUGGCUAACAGAAAUACUUAGCCUGGGUUCAAUUCCCAGAUUGUCCA